rnacentral:misc_RNA from 1 species
UGGUUCUGGCAUCGAUGAAGAACGCAGCGAAAUGCGAAAAGUAAUGUGAAUUGCAGAAUUCAGUGAAUCAUCGAAUCUUUGAACGCACAUUGCGCCCACCAGUAUUCUGGUGGGCAUGCCUGUCUGAGCGUCAUUUCAACCCUCACACUCCUAGGGUGUGGUGUUGGGGAUCGGCCAAAGCCCGCAAGGGACGGCCGGCCCCUAAAUCUAGUGGCGGACCCGUUGUGGCCUCCUCUGCGAAGUAGUAAUAUUCCGCAUUAGAGAAGCAGCGAGCCCCUGCCGUAAAACCCCCAACUUUCUAAGGUUGACCUCAGAUCAGGUAGGAAUACCCGCUGA